rnacentral:rRNA from 1 species
GUCGAACGAGAACGGGUUAUAGCUUGCUAUAAUUGUCAGCUAAGUGGCGCACGGGUGAGUAAUGUAUAGGUAAUAUGCCUUUUACUAAGGGAUAACAGAUGGAAACGUUUGCUAAUACCUUAUACUCCGUUUAUGUAUAAAUGUAAAUGGGAAAGAUUUAUCGGUAAGAGAUUGGCCUGUAUUGUAUCAGUUAGUUGGUGGGUAAUGGCCUACCAAGACAAUGACGCAUAACUGGUUUGAGAGGAUGAUCAGUCACACUGGAACUGAGACACGGUCCAGACUCCUACGGGAGGCAGCAGUGGGGAAUAUUGCACAAUGGACGGAAGUCUGAUGCAGCAACGCCGCGUGGAGGAUGACACAUUUCGGUGCGUAAACUCCUUUUAUAUAAGAAGAUAAUGACGGUAAUAUAUGAAUAAGCACCGGCUAACUCCGUGCCAGCAGCCGCGGCAAUACGGGGGGUGCAAGCGUUACUCGGAAUCACUGGGCGUAAAGAGCAUGUAGGCGGAUUGAUAAGUUUGAAGUGAAAUCCUAUAGCUUAACUAUAGAACUGCUUUGAAAACUGUUAAUCUAGAAUGUGGGAGAGGUAGAUGGAAUUUCUGGUGUAGGGGUAAAAUCCGUAGAGAUCAGAAGGAAUACCGAUUGCGAAGGCGAUCUACUAGAACACUAUUGACGCUGAGAUGCGAAAGCGUGGGGAGCAAACAGGAUUAGAUACCCUGGUAGUCCACGCCCUAAACGAUGUACACUAGUUGUUGUGAGACUAGAUCUUGCAGUAAUGCAGUUAACACAUUAAGUGUACCGCCU